rfam:Homo sapiens chromosome 8, GRCh38 reference primary assembly.
GCUGGGCGUGGUGGCAGGCGCCUGUAGUCCCAGCUACUCAGGAGGCUGAGGCAGGAGAAUUGCUUGAACCCAGGAGGUGGGGGUUGCAGUGAGCCGAGAUGGCACCGCUGCACUCCACCCUGGGUGACAGAGCAAGACUCUGUCUCAA